rnacentral:rRNA from 1 species
UACGUAGGUCCCGAGCGUUGUCCGGAUUUAUUGGGCGUAAAGGGAGCGCAGGCGGUUUAGUAAGUCUGAAGUUAAAGGCAUUGGCUCAACCAAUGUAUGCUUUGGAAACUGUUAGACUUGAGUGCAGAAGGGGAGAGUGGAAUUCCAUGUGUAGCGGUGAAAUGCGUAGAUAUAUGGAGGAACACCGGUGGCGAAAGCGGCUCUCUGGUCUGUCACUGACGCUGAGGCUCGAAAGCGUGGGUAGCGAACAGG